GGUUUCGUAGCUCAGCAGCAGAGCGUCAGACUUCGAUUGUUUGGCAUCUGAAAUCUGAAUGUCGCGGGUUCAAUCCCCGUCGAAGCCU
rnacentral:tRNA from 1 species